GACGUAGGGCGCGAGCGUUGUCCGGAUUUAUUGGGCGUAAAGAGCUCGUAGGCGGCUUGUCGCGUCGUCCGUGAAAACCUGCAGCUCAACUGCAGGCUUGCGGUCGAUACGGGCAGGCUAGAGUUCGGUAGGGGAGACUGGAAUCCUGGUGUGAGCGGUGAAAUGCGCAGAUAUCAGGAGGAACACCGGUGGCGAAGGCGGGUCUCUGGGCCGAUGACUGACGUGAGGAGCGAAAGCGUGGGGAGCGAACAGG
rnacentral:rRNA from 1 species